rnacentral:rRNA from 1 species
UACGUAGGGUGCAAGCGUUAAUCGGAAUUACUGGGCGUAAAGCGUGCGCAGGCGGUUUUGUAAGGUUGGCGUGAAAGCCCCGGGCUCAACCUGGGAAUUGCGAUGAAGACUGCAAGGCUUGAAUCUGGCAGAGGGGGGUAGAAUUCCACGUGUAGCAGUGAAAUGCGUAGAGAUGUGGAGGAACACCGAUGGCGAAGGCAGCCCCCUGGGUCAAGAUUGACGCUCAUGCACGAAAGCGUGGGGAGCAAACAGG